rnacentral:rRNA from 1 species
AUUGAACGCUGGCGGCAUGCCUUACACAUGCAAGUCGAACGGUAACGGGCCUUCGGGUGCCGACGAGUGGCGAACGGGUGAGUAAUGUAUCGGAACGUACCUUUCAGUGGGGGAUAACGUAGCGAAAGUUACGCUAAUACCCCAUAUUCUGUGAGCAGGAAAGCAGGGGAUCGCAAGACCUUGCGCUGAUUGAGCGGCCGAUAUCAGAUUAGCUAGUUGGUGAGGUAAAGGCUCACCAAGGCUACGAUCUGUAGCGGGUCUGAGAGGAUGAUCCGCCACACUGGAACUGAGACACGGUCCAGACUCCUACGGGAGACAGCAGUGGGGAAUUUUGGACAAUGGGGGCAACCCUGAUCCAGCCAUGCCGCGUGAGUGAAGAAGGCCUUCGGGUUGUAAAGCUCUUUCGGCCGGGAAGAAAUCGUAUCAGCUAAUACCUGGUGCGGAUGACGGUACCGGCAUAAGAAGCACCGGCUAACUACGUGCCAGCCGCCGCCGUAAAAC